GCACGAGAAAGGGUAGCAAUACCUGAGUACAGUGGCGCACGGGUGAGUAACACGUGAAUUAUCUACCUCCGAGUGGGGAAUAACUGAGAGAAAUCUUAGCUAAUACCGCAUAACACUUACGAGUCAAAGCAGCAAUGCGCUUGGAGAGGAGUUCGCGGCCGAUUAGUUAGUUGGCGGGGUAAUGGCCCACCAAGACGAUGAUCGGUAUCCGGCCUGAGAGGGCGCACGGACACACUGGAACUGAAACACGGUCCAGACUCCUACGGGAGGCAGCAGUGGGGAAUUUUGCGCAAUGGGGGAAACCCUGACGCAGCAACGCCGCGUGGAGGAUGAAAUAUCUUGGUAUGUAAACUCCUUUCGAUGGGGAAGAUUAUGACGGUACCCAUAGAAGAAGCCCCGGCUAACUUCGUGCCAGCAGCCGCGGUAAUACGAGGGGGGCAAGCGUUGUUCGGAUUUAUUGGGCGUAAAGGGUGCGUAGGCGGUUUGGCAAGUCUGAUGUGAAAUCUAUGGGCUCAACCCAUAGUCUGCAUCAGAAACUGCCGGGCUUGAGUAUGGGAGAGGUGAGUGGAAUUUCCGGUGUAGCGGUGAAAUGCGUAGAUAUCGGAAGGAACACCUGUGGCGAAAGCGGCUCACUGGACCAUAACUGACGCUGAUGCACGAAAGCUAGGGGAGCAAACAGGAUUAGAUACCCUGGUAGUCCUAGCCCUAAACGAUGAUUGUUUGAUGUGGCAGGUACCCAAUCCUG
rnacentral:rRNA from 1 species